rnacentral:rRNA from 1 species
UACGUAGGGGGCUAGCGUUGUCCGGAAUCAUUGGGCGUAAAGCGCGCGUAGGCGGCCCGGUAAGUCCGUUGUAAAAGUCAAAGGCUCAACCUUUGAAAGCCGAUGGAUACUGCCGGGCUAGAGUACGGAAGAGGCGAGUAGAAUUCCUGGUGUAGCGGUGGAAUGCGCAGAUAUCAGGAGGAAUACCCAUAGCGAAGGCAGCUCGCUGGGACGUUACUGACGCUGAGGCGCGAAAGCGUGGGGAGCGAACAGG